rnacentral:lncRNA from 1 species
UAAGGUACGAAUCUUAAAAUUUUCGAAAUAGUUGAAGACGUUUGGACCACAUGUUAAAAAAGAAAAUUAAAGAAAGAAAGAAAGAAUACAAAAGAAGAAGAAGCAUCACAGUCAAAUGUUAUAAUUGUAGCUGUAACUUAAUUUUUUUUUUUUUUUUUUUUUUUCGUGUUGCUAUGGUUGAAAAGGGGAAAAGUGGAAUUUUAUUGGGAUUUUUUCUUUUAUUAUUUUUUUAUUGUUAUGCUAUCAUUUUUUUCUUCCUUCUCUCUUCUUGUUAGCUGAAUGGCAUUUCUCUUCUCUUACACUUUUGCUUCGCUUACCUGCAAGAAACUAUCGUUCAAAUGUUAUACCUCCUGCAAAAAACCUGAGCAUGCUUUUCUAUUCGGGCCUAAAAAAUUUAAUUAGUUUGUAUGUUUAAAUAAUUUUAAAAUUUAUCUUAAUGAAAUUAGGCUUGAAAAUAUAGACUUUAAAUAUUUAAAAUUUUAAAUAUAUAUAAUGGGUGGACCAAGUAAAGAUAAAUUUUUAAAUUAAUAUAUAUUUUAUUUUUUUCAUAAAAUUUUGGAUUCCAAACCAGAUCCCAAGCUUAUUAUUAGGUGAAGUCAAAAUCCGGUCCAGCCUCAUUCCUGGACCAAGUAACUCCGGGUCACAUUAUCCUAGACAUGGUUCGGUUCAAGUGGGUAUUUUUCAAAGGAAAAUGUUAUUUUCCCCGGGUCAAACCCCGAAUUAUUUCAAAACGGCGUCGUUUUGGUGUUUUUUUUUUUUUGGUUGCAUGAAACGUAGUCGUUUCACUUAGUAAAAAGAAAACAAACUAAAGCAUUUUCCUAAGGCAGAGAAACGAAGACAAAGUGUAGAGAAACGAAGACAAAGUGCAGAGAAACAGCUAUUCUUAGCUCUUCCUCAUCGAUUUUUCAGCAGCUGUUAAUAUUUUCUGACAUAAGACUAAGUUUCGGCAUUUGCACAAGCUAAGGUACGAAUCUUAAAAUUUUCGAAAUAGUUGAAGACGUUUGGACCACAUGUUAAAAAAGAAAAUUAAAGAAAGAAAGAAAGAAUACAAAAGAAGAAGAAGCAUCACAGUCAAAUGUUAUAAUUGUAGCUGUAACUUAAUUACUUCCCUUGAGCUGUAAUUUUCUCACUUCCCUUCCUUUUUUUUUUUUUUUUUACCGCUCCUGGCUUUCUUCUUAGAAGGAACAGGAGAAAAAGCCCUUAUGUAGUGUUAGCUUGUCAGUCUUUUUGUACAGCUGAAGCAGAAUCCAAAGAACAAAGAGAGGUAAAAGCACUUUGUAACUACAAUGGUUUGUUUGUAAACUCAUUCCAGGGGUGUAAAAUGAAAUAUGUUGGGAGUUUUGGGUGGCUUUCUUGGAACAGAGAAAGGGAAGGUUGAAAAAAAAAAAUUGUCCAUUUCGGUUAGAAAGUAUCAUUGUAACAGUUGUUCAGAUAAGGAAAACGAAGAGGAGGGGAAGACGAAAACGAAGAGGACAAAACGAAUGGCAGAAAACGAAUGGUAAAUUUUCCUGGUGAAACGAAGAGGAGAAAACGAAGAGGGGAAGAUGAAAACGAAGAGGAGAAGACGAAAAUGAAGAACGAAGAGGGGAAAACGAAGAGGAGAGCUUUUGCUAGGGUGAAACGAUAGCGUUUCAAAUACAAGAGGAAACGGCGUCGUUUUGCUUUAGUUUUCGGGAUUUGACCCGGAGCAGAAC